UGCCCUACGGGGCGCAGCAGUGGGGAAUAUUGCACAACGGGGGAAACCCUGAUGCAGCGACGCCGCGUGAAGGAUGAAGUAUUUCGGUAUGUAAACUUCUAUCAGCAGGGAAGAAAAUGACGGUACCUGACUAAGAAGCCCCGGCUAACUACGUGCCAGCAGCCGCGGCAAUACGUAGGGGGCAAGCGUUAUCCGGAUUUACUGGGUGUAAAGGGAGCGUAGACGGUAUGGCACGUCUGAUGCGAAAACCCGGGGCUCAACCCCGGGACUGCAUUGGAAAAUGCCGACCUAGAGUGUCGGAGAGG
rnacentral:rRNA from 1 species